AACGAACGCUGGCGGCAUGCCUAACACAUGCAAGUCGAACGAAGCCUUCGGGCUUAGUGGCGCACGGGUGCGUAACGCGUGGGAAUCUGCCUCUUGCUUCGGAAUAACAGUUAGAAAUGACUGCUAAUACCGGAUGAUGUCUUCGGACCAAAGAUUUAUCGGCAAGAGAUGAGCCCGCGUAGGAUUAGGUAGUUGGUGGGGUAAAGGCCUACCAAGCCGACGAUCCUUAGCUGGUCUGAGAGGAUGAUCAGCCACACUGGGACUGAGACACGGCCCAGACUCCUACGGGAGGCAGCAGUGGGGAAUAUUGGACAAUGGGGGAAACCCUGAUCCAGCAAUGCCGCGUGAGUGAUGAAGGCCUUAGGGUUGUAAAGCUCUUUUACCAGGGAUGAUAAUGACAGUACCUGGAGAAUAAGCUCCGGCUAACUCCGUGCCAGCCGCCGCAGUAAUAC
rnacentral:rRNA from 1 species